rnacentral:rRNA from 1 species
ACGGGUGAGUAACGCGUAGAUACGUGCCUUCUCCCUGGGGAUAACAACUCGAAAGGGUUGCUAAUACCGAAUGCAUUCGUAGAAAUAUCUUUUACGAAUAAAGUCUUAAUGGCGGGGGAAGAGCGGUCUGCGUCCUAUUAGCUAGUUGGUAGGGUAACGGCCUACCAAGGCGACGAUGGGUAGCUGGUCUGAGAGGAUGAUCAGCCACACUGGGACUGAGACACGGCCCAGACUCCUACGGGAGGCAGCAGUGAGGAAUUUUGCGCAAUGGGGGAAACCCUGACGCAGCGACGCCGCGUGGACGAAGAAGGCCUUCGGGUUGUAAAGUCCUGUCAGUGGGAAAGAUUAUGACGGUACCCGCUGAGGAAGCUCCGGCUGACUCCGUGCCAGCAGCCGCGGUAAGACGGAGGGAGCAAGCGUUGUCCGGAAUCACUGGGCGUAAAGAGCUCGUAGGCGGGAGCUUAAGUCCGAGAGUAAAUCCAACGGCUCAACUGUUGGGUCAUCUUGGAUACUGGGCUUCUUGAGGACAGAAGGGGAAAGGGGAAUUCCAGGU